rnacentral:ncRNA from 1 species
GUUUAAAAGAUAAACUGGAGUAGUAAAGAAAAUGACUUUUACAGAGAGCUGAUGGUUGGUGUGAAUCAGUAAAGUUUAUUCUUGAACUUGCCAGUAGUAAAUUAUCUUAAGGUUAGCUUCCUUUAUAGAGCUACUGAGAUGGCUUUUAGCUAAAUUAGGGUGGUACCGCGAGAUGACUCCUCGUCCCUAAA